rnacentral:rRNA from 1 species
AUUGCACGCUGGCGGCAGGCCUAACACAUGCAAGUCGAACGAGUGGCGGACGGGUGAGUAAUGUCUGGGAAACUGCCCGAUGGAGGGGGAUAACUACUGGAAACGGUAGCUAAUACCGCAUACCAUCGGAUGUGCCCAGAUGGGAUUAGCUAGUAGGGGGGGUAACGGCUCACCUAGGCGUCGAUCCCUAGCUGGUCUGAGAGGAUGACCGGCCGCUCUGGAACUGAGACACGGUCCAGACUCCGACGGGAGGAAGCGGUGGGGAAUAUUGAACAAGGGGCGCAAGCCUGAUGCAGCCAUGCCGCGUGUAUGAAUAAGGCCUUCGGGUUGUAAAGUACUUUCAGCGAGGAGGCGUUACCCGCAGAAGAAGCACCGGCUAACUCCGUGCCAGCAGCCGCGGUAAUAC